GGCUGGAUGGUGUAGUUGGUUAUCACGUAUCGCUCACAAAAGCGAAGUUAAGCUUUGUCUCUUCUUCGUCUUUCAUGGUGCCGAUAAGGUCCUGGGAUCGAACCCCAGUCUAGUCA